CCAGAGGUGCCUUUGGAAAAUACAAUAAUACCUAAUAUUCAUGAUGCUUACUAUAUGCCAAGUAUGGGUCUCAACCACUUUACAUAUAUGAAUCUCUGCCAUACCCUAUGAGGCUUGAAUGUAAUUACCUGGAGGUUUAUUCUCUGUGCCCUCCUGUGUGGGGAAAGGGAAAGGAAGGAAAGCCGAAGGAAGGAAGACACAGGAAGAAGUGACACCAAGGGUGAGAUUGGUCCGGAGGGGACACUGCUUACUCAGCAAAAUGACAAAGGCCAGCAUGUGAACUGAUUACCUUUUGGAGGAAAAAAAAAAAAAAAGUCAAGCAGAAAA